AGGUAUUAUUUAGUCAAUUCAGAGGUAAGAAUCAGAGGUAAGAACCAUACAGAGUCAGUUUUACUUGUGACAAGGGUAGCCCAUUUUGCAGUGCAACUACAAAGUUUUGACACCCUAUCUCUUUAUUUAUAUGCACAGUUCAACAGACAGUUCAGACAGGGUGUAUGUGUGUGGCCAAAAGGAGGCUGGUUCUCAUUGGAAAUAGAUAACUGUGAUCUCACACACAGGAGGGAGGACAGCACACAGGGAAAGCUGCAUACCAGAGAUACACAGUAGAGUGCAGGUGCAUUACAGCACAACGUUUUUACAUGAAUGAUAACAAGUCCUCGCACCCAUCCAACAGGCUUCAACCACGUUGCUGAUACCAACACAUUGCAAAGAUCUUGAGGAUGUGGAGAGGUGUCUACAAGCAUGCCCUGGACUUCUUCUAUCUGGUUUUCAUUUCUUCAGUCACCGUUGUACCUCUGGACUAGAUAGAGAGCAAGGCACCAUGGUGGAUCCUGCUGAGGUUCAUGAAGACUGGGAUUGGCUGGAACGAGCCUCACACUCAUCAUGGGUCAACAGUGUCAGUCCCAAAUACUCUUGUGAAAUACUCAAAUCAAGGAUCUUCUUUAGCUGCAGCAAUCAACUCAUACUUGGAAAUGGUGCAAGUUUGGUCAAGAUUCAUAAGGGAUUAAUAUCCAAACUACAAUUUUUGUUUAGAAUGUUGAGGGGAAA